CCCAUCCUACCUCCUCUGUAUUCUUGACAGCCCAUCUUUGUCUCAGUAGAGUCUUUUAGUGGCACGUUUCGGUCCUCUUCCCCAUUACUUAGAAAAAGUGAGCCACCGAAUCAGGUACAAGAUACUAUCAUUACCGCCUGGAAAAUUAGACAUCCAACCCGUAAUCGCUAUGACUCAAUUGCAAGUGCGAAACUCUACCAACUGAGCUAUAUCCCCCCGAGCCAAGUGGAUCAUGCAUGGUGUAGUCAGAUGCUUCUUCUAUUCUUUUCCCUGGCGCAGCUGGGCCAUCCUGGAAUUGAACCAGAGACCUCUCCCGUGAAGUAAAUCAUCGCACCUACGGUCUAACCAAUGGGAUAGAAUCAAUAGAUUCCUUUUUGAGAGAGAUUCAUCCUUCAUUCUCCAAGUGUGCUUGUUCCCCUCUUCUUCCUUACCCUGGAAAGUUUUUGUGAAAUAACUCCGAUGAGAAGAUAAAAGAAGGCGUUAAGAGACUCUCCUGGCCCAACCCUAGACACUCUAAGAUCCUUUUUCAAACCUGCUCCCAUUUUGAUUUCGAGUUAAGAAAAAAAUAACUCGAAUGGUACGAUCCCUUCGUAACCCUAGCAUGAAAGGGGUGAUCUCGUAGUUCUUGGUAUGUGAAGAUGCGUUGUUAGGUGCUCCAUUUUAUUUUUCCUUUGAGGCCAAACCUAAAACUGUGCUUGUGAGAUAGUUGUCCAUACACUGAUAAGGGAUGUAAGGAUUCUCGAUAAGAGAGGAGCGGUGGUAGUCCCCCCCGGACUGAGUGAUUCAAUUGUGUACCAAUAAACUAAAUUUGAUAAUCUACUGAUAGACCAUCUUCAAAUUUACCCAAUUGUUGGUCCAAUUUGGUGAUUAAUUUACAUGACCAGUGAGGUUUUUUUUUCCUUAUUUCGUUUAUUCCUAUCGAUUUAUUUCCAGGUUUUGUCUCAUUAGGAUCAAUUGCGUUGAAUACAAAUUUUAAAAAUUUAGUUUUUUUUCUGAGUUCGUUCUUACCUGUUCUUGGUCUGAAAAUAAAAAAAGGUCUUUCAAAUUUAAACUCGACUUUGGUUCGUUACCGAAUUCAUUGAUUAUAGUUAAGAACUCGUCAAUUUCUGUUGAUAAUGGUUUUUUUAUCAAUUGUAUCCACUUUUUGUUCAAAUUCUUGGUAAUCAGUAUUCGGAAGAAAGAUAGUAUGAAUCCUAUUUAGUUUAACUCUCUCUUUCAAAUUUUCUAUCGAAUUAUUGUUUAUGAUUGAAGGUGAAACCCCUUUUUUGAUUGUUCCUCGAUAUGGUCCAUUUAACAAAGGAUCGUACAUUUUAGGCAUGUAUUCUUUUUUAGUAUCAUCAUUACACUAUCUAGUCCUCGUUUCAAGUAUAUCCAGAGAAAGAGAUUCCUUGUCUAGAACUUCAAGUCGAUUUAAAAAUUCCUUAUUCAGAUUAUUACUUUUUUCUUUGUUGGUAGAAACCCACUGAUUGUCCAGUUCAUGAGGGAGCAUUUUUUGGAGUGACAAUAGGGGUAUCUUUCUUUUUAUCAUUUCCCAAAAAGUUGAUAAACUUGGCAGGUAUGUAAAAGAUAUUCUUUGUUUUCCAUCAGUUUUACAUGUGUCAAAAAAAUAUUGUGACAUUUCAGUUCUUAUGGCUUGGUCAAAUCGAUUAUUCUUUAUUUAGCAAAAUGGUCGAUUCCACCGAUUAUAAUCGAAAAGAAUACUCACAAGAGGUUUUUUAAACCCGAAGAGGUCUUGAUUUUCAUUUUCGUUAUCAAGCAAUUGCAAUUUAAAAUUUUCUGGAUUACCCGUGUUAUUAUUAUUAUUAUUCAGAUAAGAAUCUUUUUUAUCAUAAAUUUCACAAUUACUAGUAUUAAUAUUUUUAUAGCCUCUCUCUGUAAGGUGAGAGUGGAAUUUAUCCUUUAUUUUGUCCUUUCCAUUCACUCGAAUUUCUUCCGUUUCAUCGAUUUUGUCCGGAUCCGACCCUUCUUCCGAAAAAGGGGAAGGAGAAGGAUAAGGAUCUUCUUCAGUGGAUCCCUCUUGAAAAAGGGAAGGAGAAGGAUAAGGAUCUUCUUCAGUGGAUCCCUCUUGAAAAAGGGAAGGAGAAGGAUAAGGAUCUUCUUCAGUGGAUCCCUCUUGUUCCUGUUUAGUCCCCUUCAUUUCGGAAGCAGUUUCUACAUCUCUUUCUUCCUCACUUUCCUCCCUUUCUUCUGUUUUUGAGGCCUCUUUCAGUUUCUUAGCUUCUUUCAGUUUCUUAGUAAGAAUGGGUGAGGGUAUUCUGCCUAAAUAGUAGACACAGGUAAUAAAUAAGAGAAUACUAAAGAUCCGAGCCAUAGAAUUUCUCAAUUCUAACACAAGGUACUUAUUAGAUCGAAUGUACUUAUUAGAUCGAAUGUACUUAUUCGAUCUAAUAGAAUGAUUUUGCCGUAUCCAGACUAAUCCCAAUCCAAGUCAUUUCAUGAAUAAAAUGUGAACAAUUAACCAACCAACAAAACCAUUUGUUACAAAUAAGAUCUUGUUGUUGCAUCGAAAGAGAUAAAUGUUGACUAAUCUGGCUAACAUUGAACUUGGUAAAAUGAAAUGGUUGAAUAAUUGAAAAAUGAGAUUACUCAGGAAUACACAUUGAAUGCUGAGAUUGCACAUUGAAUUUCUGGUAGUAUAUCCAUAAAAAAAAAGUGUUUGUGAUUGUUCCAGAAGAAAUGAAACAAAAGAUAUGGUAGAGCUAGGACGGUUAUUGUAUGAGGUCUACCCAAUGCUAGAUGCAGAGGAGCAUAAUAGAUCGAUAUGAACAUCAUGAGCUAUCCCAUAAUAAAACCAGUUGUUGUUGAUACCUUCUUCUCGGUUCCUUCUUCCAUAACUAGAGCUCGAAGAAGGAAGAGAUAAGAGGGCCCUAUGGAGAACGUGGUAAGAAAUUCAUAAUAGAGUCCGACUACAACAACUGAAUUGAUUGUCUUCAUGCAUAAGGAUACUAGAUUACCUAGUAGAAAAGAUUAAAAAAUCAUCACAAACCUCCCUUAUUUCUUUUUCUAUUGCAAUUUCUGGAUUAUUAUAUGAUGAUUUUUUCACUUUCCAUAUAUAGAAAAGAAAUAGAAAGAGAUAGACUAGAAACAACAUCUAUUAUGCCAAUAAGACCAAAGGGAUAUUAAAUGAAUGGAAUUGGGAUAUGGAUGGAAUAUAAUGAAAUAAAUCCACUUUGUGGUUCCUUCUGAAAUGAGGCAUGUAAGGGAGUCACUACGAAGAAGUUUCGAGAGUUACAAAGGAAAAUUCUAGCUCAUAUUGGUCAUGGGUUGGGAAUAGGAAUUGAAAUCUAUGAGAUUGAAUCUCUUGUUGUUCCUCAGUAGCUCAGUGGUAGAGCGGUCGGCUGUUAACCGAUUGGUUGUAGGUUCAAAUCCUACUUGGGGAGAUUUGAUUGAUUCUGAAUUAAAGAAUUCAGAAUAAAGGGGCUCGCUUUGCCCGUUAACAGUAGGUAACCCAUUCCCUAUCUUUUUUUCUUUUGCAUUCUAUCUCAUCAUAUCACAUUCUGUUCUGGGAGAUUACAAAAUCACCAUCAAUACCUCAGUCUAAGUCCGAGAUAAUCCUUUGUUCCAUAGCCCUGGGGUGGGGCUAAUUACAACUAGCCAAUUAAGAAGUCUCAGAUGUACUAGCACUGCAUCUUUGAUGCAGUCAUCAAUUCUCCCAUAUAAAUGAAAGAAAAAGAAAAAGGAAUGACAUCACAACGAGAUUCUAAUCUCAAAACAAAAAGAAAGGGGGAUAUGGCGAAAUCGGUAGACGCUACGGACUUAAUUGGAUUGAGCCUUGGUAUGGAAAUGUACUAAGUGAUCACUUUCAAAUUCAGAGAAACCUUGGAAUGAACAAAAAUGGGCGAUCCUAAGCCAAAUCAUUUUUUUUGAAAACAAAUAAAGGUUCAGAAAAAAAGGAUAGGCGCAGAAACUCAAAUGAAAGCUAUUCUAACAAAUGGAGUUAAAUGUGUUGGUAGAGGAAUCUUUACAUUGAAACUUCAGAAAGAAAAAGAAUGAAGUGAAGUAUAAAUAUAUAUACAUACGUAUUGAAUACUAUAUCAAAUGAUUAAUGACGAUCCGAAUCCCUGAUCAAAUCAUUCACUCCAUAGUCUGAUAGAUCUUUUGAAGAACUGAUUAAUCGGACGAGAAUAAAGAUAGAGUCCCGUUCUACAUGUCAAUACCGGCAACAAUGAAAUUUAUAGUAAGAGGAAAAUCCGUCGACUUUUAAAAUCAUGAGGGUUGAAGUCCCUCUAUCCCCAAAAAGACUAUUUCAACCCCCAACUAUUUCUCCGACCCCUUUUCCUUAGCAGUUCCAAAUUACUUAUCUUUCUCAUUCACUCUAUUAUUUUAGAAAUGGAUUUUUCUUUUAGAAAUGGAUUUUAGCGUAAAUGGAUUUCUCUUCAGCCUUGUGAUAUAUAUGAUACACAUAGAACUGAACAUCUUUGAGUAAGGAAUACCUAGUUGAAUGAUUACCCAUAUCAUUACUCAAUACUAAAACUUACAAAGUCAUUUUUUUGAAGAUCGAAGAAAUUCCCCGGCUUUGAUAAAAUUUUUUAAUCAACUUUUGUCCUUUUAAUUUACAAAGACCUAUUGACAAAGACCCCUUUAUGUGUUGAGAUAAAAUUUUUUAAGAUAAAAUUAGAGUAACAAGCAGAGAACUAAAAAUCCUCAUGUUAAUGAAUGGUUCCAAUUGGGAAGACCACAGGACUCUAAAUCCUCCUAUUAACGGGGACUGAAAAUUCUUAUGUUCGAGGUUCCAAUUGGGAUUGGUAGACCAAAGGAUUGUAAAUCCUCGUCCCACCAGUUCCAAUUAGGAAUACCGGGGGACUCUAAAUCUUUGUGUUCAAGGUUCGAAUUAGGAUUGGUAUAGCCCUGAAAAUCCUCGGGUUACCAGUCCCAACCUUGAUAAAAAAUCUGGAUUGGGAAUAGCCGGGAUAGCUCAGUUGGUAGAGCAGAGGACUGAAAAUCCUCGUGUCACCAGUUCAAAUCUGGUUCCUGGCACAUGAUUAAUUUGUAUGGGUCUCUCUUCACUAGAAUUAAUUUCUAAUUAAUUGAUAUGAAUCAACAUACAUAUUCUUUUAGAGUCUAGAUUAGAAUAAUAGCUUUAUCCAGUUUGGCGAGAUAUACCCCAUACUAUGUUCUAUAUGGGUAGAGUUUCUUAGAUAAAGUAUCGAAAAGAAUUGGAUUCUAUCUCCUCUUUUUUUUCUUCUCUCGUUCAAACAAAUUUGAAUACGUAAUACAUAUUUGAAAGGUAAAAUUGGUUAAUUGUUGAAAGUCUCAAAAGUCGAAUCUAGGAGGGUUGAAAUAAACAAGAUUCAGCUCAGAUCCAAAGAAAUAGAAUUCGAUAUUCUAUCAUUUCUUUGUCUUUUCUUUCAUAUUCGAUUUCUUCAUUCCGGAUUUCUCCAUCCCUUCCUAUAUGCCCUUCUAGAACCCAUCUAAGUAAUGUGCGCAGUACAAAGUUCAUGAUGCAGAACUCAUUUGGUUCAUCCUAUAGGUAUGACUCAUCCGAAAUAAGAAUCUUCUAAAUAAAUGUGAGAAUUACAAUGAAUCCCCAAUUGUCUUUUUUUGUUAGACUAUUUAUAAUUCCCUAAAUUAGACCUGCUUAAUCUAGAACAGAACAUGCAAUCCUUGAAUAUCUUAAAUUGUCUAAGUGGAAAUAGCUUUCUUAUCAUUCAAUGAGCAUCUUGUAUUUCAUAAAAAUUGGGGGCAAUAUAAUCCUUACAUAAGGGCCAUCCUAUCCAACUUUCAGGCAUUAAGAUACAUUUCAAGGAUUGAGAGUAGAGAUAAUUGUACCCAUACACAUAAAAAAUGACAGCAAUGGAAUGCCAAUCCUCGGGCUUUAUUUGUAAAGUCUCUAUUCCUUGGUAAUCAAACAUCCAAAGAUCUAUGAAUUAGCCCAUACUUGACUAGCCAAGUAGACAAAAGACCCUGCAUCUUUUUUAUCUCUCCCGCAUUUUUAUUUGUAUAAGUAUUUCAGAUUUAUGAUUAAAUUUAUGAAAAUUGACCCACCACUUCUUUUAUGGACAAAGGAAUCCUCUCUAAUUCACUAAUUCGGGGGAAGAUACUAAAUUUUUGUAUUUGGAAAAGAUUUUCGUAGGGAUCUCUGAAGUAGAUGGUGGUUGAUAAAGAACUCUUUGAUCAUAAUUUCCCGUAUGAAUACUGCGUCGAACAUGAAACUUGUUAUUGGUAGUAAAACACCGAAUCACUCAUUGAGACCUAAUUCGAUCUUCAUAGAGUUCUCGAGAUAUUUUCUUACGAAGUUUUGUUAUAGCAUCUAUAAUUGAUUCUGGUUUAGGUGGGCAACCUGGAAAAUAUAUAUCUAUAGGAAUUAACUUAUCGACUCCCCGAACAGUACUAUAAGAAUUGGUACUGAACAUCGCACCUCUAAUUGUACAGGAUCCCAUAAAAAUAACAUAUUUUGGUUUAGGCAUUUGCUCAUAUAAUCUCAUUAAAGAGGGGGCCAUUUUCAUUGUUACUGUUCCAGCUGUUAAAAUUAGAUUCGCUUUUCUAGAACUCUAUCUUGGUACUAGUCCAUAACGAUCAAAGUCGAAGCGUGAGCCUAUUAGUGAAGCAAAUUCAAUGAAGCAACAAUUGGUACCAUAGAGAAGCGGCCAUAAACUAGAGAGUCUUAACCAAUUUGAAAGAUCAUUUAAUGUAGUUGAAAUAACUGAAUUUGGGGCUGUUCGAUCAAGUAAAGGAAACUAAAUAGAAUUCAUACCUGUCUCAAUCUUAUUUUUUUCGUUUUUCUUUUUACUGUCUAAAUAUUCAGGAGCUAAGACCAUUCCAAUGCCCCCUUUCGCCAUGCAUAAACUAAACAAUAAUUAAGGUAAUCACAAAAAUCGAAGCUUCUAUAUAUACAGAUACACCCAAUACGUCGAAACUCAUUGUCCAUGGAUAAAGAAAAACCAUUUCAACAUCAAAAACAACAAAAACUAGAGCAAACAUAUAAUAACAGAUUCGAAAUUGUAACCAAGCAUCACCCAUUGGUUCUAUACCCGACUCAUAAGUAGAAAGUUUCUCCGGCCCUUUGCUAAUCGGGGCUAACACUCCGGAAAUGAAAAAUGCCAAAAUAGGAACAAGGAUGGAUAUUAUUAGAAAUGCCCAAAAAAAAUCAUAUUCGUAAAGCAGAAACAUAAACGCACUCCUAUGAACGUGGAAAAUAUACCGGAUUCGAUUGGUCGAUUCAAACAUGAAUUAAAGACAGGGAUAGAAUGUAGCAGUACCAAAUAUAUUUACUUUACCUAGUACUCAAGAUUAUUUCCCUAGGUCGAGGUAAGUAAGGUAUACGAAGGAAAAGCCUAUUUGAUAAUAAAAGUGACCAAAGAUAUUCGUUUAUCAAAAAACUUUAGCUUGUACACAAAUACAACAGUCCCUUCCUCAAUCUAUGUGAAUUCCUCUUCGUAGUUUUUCAUUUCACCAGGCCCGUGAAAUGAUUUGACUUCCAAAAUUCAAUAAUAUUGGGGAUAUAAAAGAAAGGGAGUUUCACUAAUUCUUUAAUUGUGGAUAUGAAUAUGUAAUUCGCCUCCGAAGAUUAAUGAUGAAAGAUUGGUUUGUUUAUCUGUAAUUGAAAAAAUAAAUAUCGAUUGGAUCUAUUGAUAUGCGUUUUUUUUUCAUCUUCUUAAACUUAAAUGAUUGCCAUGAGUAAACUUAUAGGAAUAGUUGAAUUUCACUUAGUUACAAGCAAUAAAUAAUAAUGAAGAAAUGAAAAUUAUACAAUUUUUUUUCAUUUUUAUUUUAAUUUAUAGGGCUAUAUAGACUUGAACCGUAGACCUUCUCGGUAAAACUGAUCGAACUUAUUAUUAUUAUAAUGAUCUGAACUGUUUCAAAGACCCAACAUGCAAUUUUUUUGCAUUGGGCUCUUUCAUUAACUGAUAUUUAUAGCAGUUAGUCUGCCAUAUUUUUCUUGACAGGAAAAAAGAUAAGGAAAUGGCUCCAUGUGCUCUGAUUCAUUAUUUGGGAGCAUUACCAAAGUGUUUCAAAGGUGGGAUUAUCUUGACGUAGUUCUGUCUCUGGCCUAAAUAAACCUAAGUUAAAUGAAGUCUCUAUCAUUUCUUCUUAAAAAAUCAAAUAUGAAACUUCAUACACCUUAAAGUUCAUAUGACGAAAAGAGAUUUUUUUGAGGUCCUUAUACUCUCAUUUUGCCUAGUAUUGAAUAGACUGGGUAUUCACCUUAUCAACAUCUUAAAUCAAUGAUGGGGUCUGUUUGGCACCUCCUAAAUAGACGUCCAAAUUGGACCGAACCCUUUGUCAGGCUAUGGUUCCCUCAAAGUUAUGGAGUAAGACAUCGAUUUCUCAACAAGAUCGAUUUUUCUGAUUGUAUGAUGAACUCCCUUGAAAAACAUUGGCGCGCGUGUAAACGAGUUGCUCUACCAACUGAGCUAUAGCCCUUAGUGCUUGUGAUACAUAUUUUAUCAUGUAGAUAAAUUCUUGUCAAGAUAAAUAUUCCAUGAUCCAACAUCAACAAUCUUUGAUCUCUUUGAGUGGUAUUCCUUAGAUUAGUAUUGCUUAUUAGAUUAGUAUUGCUUAUAAGUAAUAUGAUAUUUAUAAUCCAUCGACAGGAUGGGUUUCGUUUGGUUCUCUUUGGAAUGAUAAAUGACCUACUUAACUCAGUGGUUAGAGUACUGCUUUCAUACGGCGGGAGUCAUUGGUUCAAAUCCAAUAGUAGGUAAAACUUAUUAGAUACCAGAGUCAAUGGUAUCUAAUAAGCUUUACAACCCACCUUUAGUGAUAUUUAUUUUUUGAUUUUGUAUAUUUUCUAUUUCAUUUUUAAAUUUGAAUUUCUGCAUCAGAAUUGACUUUUGUUUGAUUGUAUUCACCCAACAGAAUCUAAAUAGGAUUAGAAAGAGAACUUCUUUUAUUAUUCAAAUAUACUAAAUAGUCAUACUAAAUAGUUAUGAAAUUGGAUUGAUAGCCUUCACCCGUGUUCUAGCUCAUUGGAGAGCUAGAUUUGCCUCAAUUUUUUGUCUCCUUCCAUCAGCCUUUUUCAGAUUUGCCUCCACUAUUUCAAGAGUUUGCUGAGCUUCUUGUGGAUGAAUGUCACUACCUUCUUGUGGAUGAAUGUCACUACCCUUCUCCGCAUCAUUUACUAAAACAGUGAUCUCAUUAUUGCCUAUUCUAGCAAAGCCAACCAUCAGAGCCAUCGUUAACCAUUGGUUGUUAAGGCGUAUUCGCAAAAUCCCUAUAUCUACAGCUGUGGCAAUAGGGACGUGAUUUGGUAAUAUGCCAAUUUGACCACUAUUAGUAGAUAACACGAUUUCUUCCACUUCUGAAUCCCAAACAAUUUGAUUAGGAGUCAGUACACUAAGAUUUAAGGUCAUUUUUUCAAAUUUCUCUCCAUUUCUAAGUUCAUAGCCUUCGCGGUAGCUUCAUCGAUAUUACCUACAAAAUAAAAGGCCAUUUCAGGAAGACCAUCUAAUUCUACGGAAAGGAUCAAUUGAAAUCCUCGAAUUGUUUCUACUAGACCAACAUAUUUCCUUGGAGAACCAGUAAAUACUUCUGCUACGAAAAAGGGUUGUGAUAAGAAACGCGCAAUUUUUAUGCUCUUGCUACGAGUAAACGAUCCUCUUCGGAUAAUUCAUCCAAUCCAAGGAUAGCUAUAAUGUCCUGAAGUUCUUUAUAACGUUGUAAAGUUUGCUUAACUCGUUGGACGGUUUUGUAAUGUUCCUCACCAAUGAUCCGAGGUUGAAGCAUGGUUGACGUUAAAUCUAAAGGAUCUACUUCUAGAUAAAUACCUUUGGAAGCCAAUCCUAUUGAUAGUAUGGUAGUAGCAUCUAAAUGUGCAAAUGUCGUAGAAGGAGCAGGGUCGGUCAAAUCAUCUGCGGGUACAUAAACUGCUUGAAUAGAUGUUAUGGACCCUUCUUUGGUAGAAGUAAUUAUUUCUUGUAAAAAACCUAUUUCAGUACUUAGGGUCAGUUGAUAACCCACAGCGGAAGGCAUUCUACCCAAUAAGGCCGAUACUUCAGAUCUUGCUUGGAUGAAACGGAAGAUAUUGUCAAUAAAUAGAAGUACGUCUUGCUCAUUAACAUCUCGGAAAUAUUCCGCCAUAGUUAGGGCAGUCAAACCAACUCUCAUACGAGAUCCUGGUGUUUCAUUUAUCUGACCGUAAAAUAGGUCCACUUUUGAUUCUACAAUAUUUUCUUCAUUAAUCACUCCAGAUUCUUUCAUUUCCAUGUAAAGAUCAUUUCCUUCCCAAGUACGUUCACCCACUCCGCCAAAUACGGAUACACCCCCAUGAGCUUUAGUAAUAUUGUUAAUCAAUGCCAUAAUGAAUACUGUUUUACCCACUCCAACUCCCCCAAAUAGUCUAAUUUUUCCUCCACGACGAUAACAGGCUAGAAGAUCUACUACUCUAAUUCCUGUUUCAAAAAUAGAUAAUUUUGUAUCCAACUGUAUAAAGGCAGGCACAGAUCUAUGAAUAGGAAACAUUGUACUAGUAUAUACAGGCCCUAAAUUAUCAAUAGGAUCUUCGAGCACAUUAAAAAUUCAUCCCAGAGUCGCCACCCCGACCGGAACACUUAUAAGAGCUCCUGUGUCAAUCGCUUCCAUUCUUCUCGUUAAACCGUCUUUAGCACUCAUAUCUACAACUCUAACUCAAUUAUUUCCUAAUAAUUAUUUUACCUCACAAGCCAUAUUAAUUGGUUGACCAACACUAUCUCGACCUUGAGCUACGAGAGCAUUAUAAAUAUUUGGCACCUUGCCCGGGGGAAAGGCUACAUCUAGUACCGGACUGAUGAUUUGGAUGACACGCCCCAGGUUUUUUUUUCAAGCGUGGAAACCCCAGAACUAGAAGUAGCAGGAUUGAUUCUCAUAAUAAUAAAACAAAUAAAUAUGUUGAAAUGUUUUUUCAAAAAUUAUCGAAUUCAAAGUAAAUGUCCGCUAGCACAUCGAUUGGUUAAUUCAAUAAAAUGGGAAUUAGCACUCGAUUUCGUUGGCACCAUGCAAUUGAACCAAUUCAAUUGUUUACUUAUUCAAUGAGAUUGAUUUAAUUUGCAAGCUCACCCAACCUAUUUUAAUUUAAAAAUCUCAAGUGGAUGAAUCAGAAUCUUGAGAAACUCUUUCAUUUGUCUAUCAUUAUAGACAAUCCUAUCCAUAUUAUCUAUUAUAUGGAAUUCGAACUUGAACUUUAUUUUAUUUUCUAUUACGAUUCUCUAUUUGGAUCUAAUGGGCUCCUCUUCUUAUUUUUCUUAUUUAUUUUUUAGUUAAAUUUCAGCAUAUUGAUUUAUGCCUAGCUUAUUCUUUUCUUUACGUUUUUCUUUCUUUUUUAUACCUUUCAUAGAAGAAUUCCAUAUAUUUUCACAUUCAGGAUUUACAUAUACAACAUAUACCACUGUCAAAGGGGAAGUUCUUAUUAUUUAGGUUAGUUAGGUAUUUCCAUUUCAAAGAAAAAAGGUAAAAAAAUAUAUAUAUAUGAAAGAGUAUACAAUAAUGAUAUAUUUGGAAAAUCAAAUACCAUGGUCUAAUAAUCAACCAUUCUGAUUAAUUGAUAAUAUUAGUAUUAAUUGUAAAUUUUCUGAAAGAUUCCUAUGAAAAGUUUCAUUAACACGUAAUUCGUGUUGAGUAGACCUUGUUGUUGUGAGAAUUCUUACUUCAUGAGUUGUAGGGAGGGAUUUAUGUCACCACAAACAGAGACUAAAUUAAGUGUUGGAUUCAAAGUUGGUGUUAAAGAGUAUAAAUUGACUUAUUAUACUCCUGAGUACCAAACCAAGGAUACUGAUAUAUUGGCAGCAUUCCGAGUAACUCCUCACCUUAGAGUUCCACCUGAAGAAGCAGGGGCCGCGGUAGCUGCCAAAUCUUCUACUGGUACAUGGACAACUGUAUAGACCGAUGGACUUACCAGUAUUGAUCGUUACAAAGGGAGAUGCUACCGCAUCGAGCGUGUUGGUGGAGAAAAAGAUCAAUAUUUUGCUUAUGUAGCUUACCCUUUAGACCUUUUAGAAGAAGGUUCCGUUACCAACAUGUUUACUUCCAUUGUAGGUAAUGUAUUUGGAUUCAAAGCCCUGUGCGCUCUACGUCUGAAAGAUCUGUGAGUCCCUACUGCUUAUAUUAAAACUUCCCAAGGUCUACCUCAUGGGAUCCAAGUUGAAAGAGAUAAAUUGAACAAGUACGGUCGUCCCCUGUUGGGAUGUACUAUUAAACCUAAAUUGGGGUUAUCUGCUAAAAACUUUGGUAGAGCUAUUUAUGAAUGUCUUCGCGGUGGACUUGAUUUUAUCAAAGAUGAUGAGAACGUGAACUCACAACCAUUUAUGUAUUGGAGAGAUCAUUUCUUAUUUUGUGCCGAAGCAUUUUUUAAAGCACAGAAUGAAACAGGUGAAAUCAAAGGGCAUUACUUGAAUGCUACUGCAGGUACAUGUGAAGAAAUUAUGAAAUGAGAUAUAUUUGCUAGAGAAUUGGGUGUUCCGAUCGUAAUGCAUGACUACUUAAUGGGGGGAUUCACCGCAAAUACUAGCUUGGUUCAUUAUUGCCAAGAUAGUGGUCUACUUGUUCAUAUCCACCGUGCAAUGCAUGCGGUUAUUGAUAGACAGAAGAAUCAUGGUAUGCACUUUUGGAUAUUAGCAAAAGCGUUACGUAUGUCUGGUGGAGAUCAUAUUCACGCUGGUACCAUAGUAGGUAAACUUGAAGGUGAAAGAGACAUAACUUUGGGCUUUGUUGAUUUAUUGCGUGCUGAUUUUGUUGAACAAGAUCUAAGUUAUGGUAUUUAUAUCACUCAAGAUUGGGUCUCUUUACCAGGUGUUCUACCUGUGGCUUCAGGAGGUAUUCAUGUUUGGCAUAGAAAGCCUAUUUUCUUCUACGCACCUUCUGGCCCCUCCCUUUGAGUACGAAUAAAAGGACUUUGGUUUACUAGAGACAUCAACAUAUUGUUUUAGCUCGAUGGAAACAAACUCUUUUUCCUCAGGAUCCUAUUAAAUAGAAAUAGAGAACUAAAUAACUAGAAAGGUUGUUAGAAUCCCCAUCAACAAAGCAAUUCGUUUUAUCUGUAUUCAGACCAAAAGCUGAAAUAGAUGUUAUGGGUAGAAUUCUUUUUUUUCAAAUUUUGUUCACAUCUUACAUCUUAUACAUUGAAUCAUAUUCAUAAGGGAGCCGAAUGAAACCAAAGUUUCAUGUUCAGUUUUGAAUUAGAGACGUUAAAAAAAUGAAUCAACGUCCACUAUAACCCGUAGCCUUCCAAGAUAACGAUGCGGGUUCGAUUCCCGCUACCCGCUCUAUAUCUAUUUAUUCUAAAUAUUUUAAUCUAUUCAUUAAAUCAAAUUUAGUUUAUUAGUAUUAGUACAUCAUUGAAUAUACAAUUCAAAAAAUUAUUUCACAUCAGAUUCUUUCUGUUUUUUUUUUCAAACAAAAAGUUAAAAUACGAAAAAAAAAUCAGAAUGAAAAGCGUCCAUUGGUCUAAUGGAUAGGACAGAGGUCUUCUAAACCUUUGGUAUAGGUUCAAAUCCUAUUGGACGCAAUUUAUUUCCAUAUAUAUAUUUUUUAUUUUUUUUUAGAUUUUGAUAGCAAGAAAGACUGUUUGAAUAUUUGAAUCCAAGAUGCUUAAUUCCUUUUUUUUUUAUUAAGAUUAAGACAAGGGUUAUCAAUAUUUCUUUAUGCUUGUUCCUAAAGUAUAAAAUGGUCCAUUUGUUCCUGAAUAGCUUCUUUCAAAAGGGUUUCUGCUUCCUCGAUAAAUUUUUUGGUAGAAGAUAUGAUUUUUUGAAAUUGAGGUUUAUUAGUUUUUAAGUACGUAUAUCAAAAAGAAAUUUCCUUACCUGUCUAACUUCUAAUGAAUCAAGAUAGCUUUUUGUUCCGGUAUAAAUAGUCAUUACCUGCUCUGCUACUGUGAGAGGAUCCACUUGUGAUUGUUUAAGAAAUUCACAUAAUCGUUGAUCUCUUGCCAAUUUAUUCUGAGUAGAUUUAUCGAGAUCAGAAGCAAAUUGUGCAAAGGCUUCUAAUUCUGCGAAUUGUGCUAGUUCUAAUUUUAAUUUACCAACUACUUAUUUCAUGGCUUUUAUUUAAGCUGCGGACCCCACUCUGGAAAUGGAGAUAUCCACAUUAAUAGAAGGUCUGAUUCCAGAAUUGAAUAGGUCGGCGGAUAAGAAGAUUUGUCCAUCAGUAAUGGAAAUUACAUUAGUAGGAAUAUAAGCCGAAACAUCUCCCGAUUGAGUUUUAACUAUUGGUAAGGCGGUUAUACUUCCUUCACCUAAACUAGAAUUUAAUUUAGCGGCUCUUUCCAAAUGGUGUGAAUGCAAAUAAAAAACAUCUCCUAGAUAAGAUUCACGACCGGGCGGUCUUCAUAAUAGAAGAGACAUUUGGUAAUAAGCUUGCGCUUGUUUGGAGAGAUCAUCAUAAAUGAUUAAAGUGUGUCAUUCACGAUACAUAAAAUAUUCAGCCAGAGCUGCUCCUAUAUAAGGAGCAAGGUAUUGUAAUGUAGCAGGAGAAUCCGCCGUUUCGGCUACCACAAUUGUGUAUUCCAUCGCUCCCCUUUCCCGUAAAGUUGUUAAUACCUGGGCCACAAAAGACGCUUUCUUUCCAAUAGCUACAUAAACACAUAAUACAUUUUAACCUUGUUGAUUGAGAAUGGUGUCUGUGGCUACUGCUGUUUUAUCGGUCUGUUUAUCCCCAAUAAUUAAUUCUCACUGGCCACGUCCUAUAGGGAUCAUCGAAUCAAUUGCAAUAAGCCCGGUUUGAAGAGGCUUAUAUACAGAACGCACGAAAUAAUAUCCGGGGUGGCAGAUUCAAUUAAUCAAAAUUUAGAAGCUGAAAUUUCACCUCUACCACAAUAGGUUUAGCCAGGGCAUUUACAACAUAACCCAAAUAAGUCUCACUCACGGGUAUCUGAGCAAUUCUUCCCAUUGCUUUUACAGAACCAAAUAUGAGUCUUUCGAUUCAUUUGGCUCUCACGCUCAAUUACUAAGUUAAAUUCUCAUAUAUUUUUUUAUGAAUGUAAUGAGCCUAUCUUCUCUUCUUUUUUCAUAUUCCAAAAAUAUAUCGAAACUAAUAUAAGACCAAAAUAUUCGGAGGACUCUUCUGACAAAAUAAAAAUAUGCAAUUGUCAGCAAAGUUGUUUCUUUUUUUUUUUUUUUAAAUCCAAAAAGCCCUACUUACUUGAAGAUCUGGACACAUUAAAUUUGAAUCUAAGUCCCCAAAGAAAAUGCAAAUCAAAUAAAGAAAACAUAAAAAUUAGAGCGGGGUCAAACUUUUUGAAUAAAAAGAAUACAAUUAAAAAAAUAAUUGGAAUCGUUCUGAAGAGAAUAUGUGUCCCUGCACUGCACAAAUAAGAUCUGGUUAUAUAUCAUAUAUGUGGGUACAUAUUGUAUAUCAAGAACAAAAAAUGCAGAUAUGGUCGAAUGGUAAAAUUUCUCUUUGCCAAGGAGAGGAUGCGGGUUCGAUUCUCGCUAUCCGCCCAAGAUCCAAGAUAAAGUAGUUUUUUUAAUAUUUAUUAUUUAAUUUCAUAAAUAGCAUUCAAUAUAUCCUUAAAUUAAGAAUUUGGUAUAGUUGGCCGUGAUAGUGUAGUGAUUCUAUCCCUCCCCUACAUUUUCUUUUGCCUUCCACCCCCAAAAAACGAAAGGAGGGAAUUAAUUACUAGUUACCAGAGUCAACCCUAAAAUAGUUUGGAAAAAUAAGAUGUUGCAGAGAUAGGAUUUGAACCUGUGACCUCAAGGUUAUGAGCCUUGUGAGAUACCAAAAUACUUUACCCCGCGCCGAAGAUAAGAACUGAACACUAAUAGAUAAACAAGGAUAAAAUGCGCCCCUCCACUCUAUCUGCACAAAUAGAAUAGCCCAUUUAUACAGAAUUGUAAAAGGGCUUCUAUGAUCAUCGACCAUAGAAAUAGAAAUGAAGCAUUAAUCCUUACCAACUUGAUCUUGUUGCUCCUGGCAACAAACAUGCAUGAACCAUUUCACGAAGUAUGUGUCCAGAUAGUAUAAAAUCUCGAUAGUUAGCUCUCGGACUUCCAUUCAAAAAACAACAUCGAUGAAGGCAUGUAGGUGCACUAUUCCGUGGUAGGGAUUGUAACUUUCCAUAAAUUUCUCAUUUGUCACUCAACGAUGGAACCUUGCUUAUUUCGUUUUUUGAGCAUCGACGAAUCAAAUGAUAUUUCUAUUUCAAUUUUUGCCUCUUCUUCUCCCUUUAAAUCAAACUUUUCUUUGCCAUAAUGGUUGAAUUCCUAUUAGUAUCCAUGAUAAAAGUCGAAUCCAAGAUGUAGAAAUAGAAGAAGGUGGACCCCCUCUCCGUUGAAAGAAAUAAGAUUAUCGCGGAUACACACAUUAAUUAACCAAAUUUGCCCGACGUAGAGGCAAUAAAAAAAAAUGCAUAAGUGAAUACAUAACCUACAGAAAAGUGAGCUAAUCCAACCAAUCUUUCUUGUACAAUAGAAAGGGCCACUGGUUUAUCUCUCCAGCGAAUCAAAUUGGCCAAAGGUGUGCGUUCAUGAGCCCAUGCUAAAGUUUCAAUCAAUUCUUGCCAAUAUCCACGCCAAGAAAUUAAGAACAUAAAUCCAGUAACCCAAAGAAGAUGUCAAAAUAAGAACAUCCAUGCCCAAAUCGAUAAACUAUCCAUUGAUAAGUUGUGAAGAGUUUAACCAUAAAUAAUCCCUUAACCAGCCCAUCAAAUAAGUGGAAGAUUCAUUAAACAGUGAAAUGUUACCCUUCCAUAAUGUGAUGUGCUUCCAAUGCCAAUAAAAAGUAACCCAUCUAAUAGUAUUAAAAAUCCAAAAAAAUUGCCAAAUAAAACGCGUCCCAUGCCGAAAUAUCAUAAGUACCACCUCUUCCUGGGCCAUCGUACGGAAAACUAUAACCAAAAUCCUUUUUAUUUGGCAUUAAAUUUGAACCAAUAGUGCUAGCAAAUAGUUUUGUCUCAUCGGGAUAGGGGUAGGAAAAAGAGAGAUUUUCGUCGUUUGUGGAUCACUCAGAUAAAUGCAGCAUUCGCAAAGGGGGAGUCUCCCAUAGUCAUAGUAAAUUAAUACAUAAUCUGUACAAUAGAAGGUUGCUUCUUAACCAUAAAAUACUUGCACAAAUAGCUAUAUCACAUAGGAAUUGUCUUUAUAUAAUUUUGAAUAAAAUCAACCCGGAGUCUUUACCGGAGGCUUUAAAAAAUCCCCAGGCUCUCAUGAGAAUAAAUGGAGGUUUCUUCUACCGGACGAGUUAGAAAUUAGUAUGAGAAAAUAUGCUAAAGUAGUCAAAAUGAAUGACCACAUUCAAUUCAAUAAAAAUAGAUUUUGUUUUUCCGAUUCAUUUGUUUCUUACGACACGAUACUCAAAUAUAGAUUCACUCAAAUCUAGAUUUGAGUAAUUAUGAUUCAAGUAAAGAAAAAGUAAGCCUUUUUAUUUCGGGCAUUAAAACCAGUAUUUCUAGCGGUCGACUCGGUUCUUUCAAAUUGUUUCUCAUUAUUGAGAAAAGGUAACAAAGAUAAAAUACGGGCUUGUUUUAUAGCAAGAGUAAUUAAUCGUUGUUGUUUUAAGGUCAAUUUAUUCAUGCGUCUUGAUAAUAUUUUUCCUUAUUCACUAAUAAAUCGACUAAUUAAACUCAUGUUUCUAUAAUCAAUUCGAUCCCCCGAUUGAAUCGGGGGCAAACGCCUACGAAAAGAUCGCUUGAAUUUAAGAAAAGGUCGCUUGGAUUUAUCCAUGGUUUGUUUGUUUAAUUUAUUCCUUAUCCCUAAAAUCCUAUUUCUUAAUUCUAAUUCAUUUUAAAUCCACCCAAAAUAAAAUAGGAUUUUAGAAAAAUAGGAUUUGUUUAGUUUCUAUUUAAAUAUGUUAUAUAUAAUGUCAUUUUUUCCCCUUCCUUGAAAGGGUAAGGCACAGGUACUUGGUUCGCUCUAUUUUUUUAUCUCCCCAUGAAUCGUAUGUUUGUAACAAUAGGGACAGAAUUUUUUCAAUUCUAAUCGAUUAGGCGUAUUGUGCCGGUUCUUUUGAGUACUAUAUCUGGAAAUACCUCUUGAUACCUUAUCAACACUGUUUCGGACACAACUAGUACAUUCCAAAAUCACCGUUACUCGGACAUCUUUCCCCUUGGCCAUGAACCUCCUUUGGAUUUUUGAUUUACUCAACUCUUCUAUUUUCGAUUCAAAACGAAGAAAGGAUAAAAUAGAAGUUACUAACUUGAAAUCCAAUUCUAAAAGUAAAAGAUUAAAAUUAAGAAAAUAAAGUAAUAGUAAAGCAAAGUCAUAGUAAAAUACAACGAUUUUUCUAAAGUAUAUUGCAAAUUUAAGUAAUCAUUUAAGUAUCUUGUAUAAUACUCUCGCCCUAGACCCCCAUUUUCUAUUCUACCCCCAUUCCUCUAUGAUUAAUAUUCAGUUAAUUCGAACUUGAGCCCGAAUGUUGAAUCCACUUUUUUAUUCUUUCUCUUUCCUUCCUUAUUCUAAAAAGGGAAAAAAGAGAAAAGAAGGAGAGAGGGAUUCAUCACCAAUAUUUGAUUGGAUAUAUAAUAUUCUUUAUUCCUUUCCAUGACAAUAACUAGAAUGAAAAAAGGGAAAUGUCAACGCAUCCAGGAAAAAAUAAUUAAUCACUAUCAAUAGACCUGCUAAAGCCCCGAACCAUAGCGUACUUAGUACUGGUGCCACAGAGAGAUAUGUUUUUAGAUAUCGCAUUGAAAAACCUCCUUAUUUUGUAUUAUUUGUUAGAAUAACUUUGCUUGACAAUUAGGAUCUCUUUAGAAAUUAUAAAGAAAAAAUAUGAAUAGAAAUCAUAGAUAUCUUACCAAUCCAAUUGGGUUUUUUCUAAAUGGAGCCUGGAUACUUCAUUUUCUUAGUCCAACCAAGCCAACCAUAAAUUAUUCUAAUUGAUAAUAGUAAUAUGAAUCCUCUAAAAAAUGGAUCUAAUUGCACUUCAUGCUCUAAAUUUUUGAUGAUUCAAUUUAUCAUUUUAUCGUUCUUGGGCAAAACGGGGGAUAUCUCGAUCGGGGGAGAGAAUGGAGAAAUACCAUAUGACCCAAUAUAUCUGACAAGUCGCACUAUACGUCAACCCAAAGUGGAUUUACCUCUCCAGAACCUUAGAAGGGAGCUUUCGGAACACCAAUAGGCAUUAAAUGAAAAAAAGAACUAAAUACUAUAUUUCACUUUGAGGUGGAAACGUAAUAAUUUUUUUAUUGUCUUUAGAAUAUUUAUAUUGGUUCUUAUCAUAUUUAUUUUAUCCAUAGAUUCUAAAAAUUCAUAAAGAAAGAUAGAAUGAAUAAACUCAAAUUAUUACGAAUAGGUCUUUCUAAUGAUAAAUAAGUAUGGACUCAUUCGCUUAUAGAAAAUGAGAUCAACUCCCCCAUUGCGUAUUGGUACUUAUCGAGUAUAGAAUAAAUCUACUUCUCUUUGUUCCUACGAACAGAAUUGUUCUAUUAUUACCACCAGAAUAGAACACCCUUGAUUCGGAAAUAAUCGACUGAACAAGAGUGGUCCAUAGGAUAGUCAUAUUAUAGUCUUUUCCAAUGCAAUAAAGUUACGUAGUGUCCAUUUAUCUUUGAUAUAAGGGGUAUUUCCAUGGGUUUGCCUUGGUAUCGUGUUCAUACCAUUGUAUUAAAAGAUCCUGAUCGGUUGCUUUCUGUUCAUAUAAUGCAUACAGCUUUGGUUGCUGGUUGGGCCAGUUCGAUGGCUCUAUAUGAAUUAGCGAUUUUGAUCCUUCUGAUCCUGUUCUUGAUCCAAUGUGGAGAUAGGGUAUGUUCGUUAUACCCUUCAUGACUCGUUUAAGAGUAACCAAUUCAUGGGGCGGUUGGAGUAUCACAGAGGGGACUGUAACGAAUUUGGGUAUUUGGAGUUAUGAAGGUGUAGCGGGAGCACAUAUUGUGUUUUCUGGCUUAUGAUUUUUGGCAGCUAUCUGGCAUUGGGUGUAUUGGGAUCUAGAAAUAUUUUGUGAUGAACGUACAAGAAAACCCUUUUUGGAUUUGCCAAAGAUCUUUGGAAUUCAUUUAUUUGUCUCAGGGGUAGCUUUCUUUGGUUUUGGUGCAUUUCAUGUUACAGGCUUGUAUGGUCCCGGAAUAUGGGUGUCCGAUCCUUAUGGACUAAUGGGAAAAGUAAAACCUGUAAAUCCAGCGUGGGGUAUGGAAGGUUUUAAUCCUUUUGUUCCAGGAGGAAUAGCCUCUCAUCAUAUUGCAGCAGAAACAUUGGGAAUAUUAGCGGGCCUAUUCCAUCUUAGCGUUCGUCUACCACAACGUCUAUACAAAGGAUUGCGUUGGGAAAUAUUGAAACUGUCCUUUCUAGUAGUAUUGCUGCUAUCUUUUUUGCAGCUUUUGUUGUUGCCGGAAUUAUGUGGUAUGGUUCGGUAACUACCCUGACUGAAUUAUUUGGGCCCACUCAUUAUCAAUGGGAUCAUAGGUAUUUCCAGCAAGAAAUAUAUCGAAGAGUUAGUGUUGGGCUAGCAGAAAGUCAAAGUUUAUCAGAAGCCUGGUCUAAAAUUCUUGAAAAAUUAGCUUUUUAUGAUUACAUCGGCAAUAAUCCGGCAAAAGGAGGAUUAUUCAGAGCAGGUUCAAUGGAUAACGGGGAUAGAAUAGUGGUUGGAUGGUUAGGACACCCUAUCUUUAGAGAUAAAGAAGGGCGUGAACUUUUUGUACGUCGUAUGCCUACUUUUUUGAAACAUUUUCGGUCGUUUUAGUAGACGAAGAUGGAAUUGUUAGGGCCGAUGUUCCUUUUAGAAGGGCAGAAUUGAAGUAUAGUAUUGAACAAUUAGGUGUAACUGUUGAGUUCUACGAUGGUGAACUCAACGACGUCAGUUAUAGUGAUCCUGCUACUGUGAAAAAAUAUGCUAGACGUGCUUAAUUGGGUGAAAUUUUUGAAUUAGAUCAUGCUACUUUGAAAUCCGAUGGUGUUUUUCGUAGCAGUCUAAGGGGUUGGUUUACUUUUGGGCAUGCUUCGUUUGCUUUGCUCUUCUUCUUCAGACAUAUUUGGCAUGGUGCUAGAAUUGUAUUCCCCCGAAAGGAAUGGUGAAGUUGAAAACCUAAUCCUUUAAAUCUUUGUUGUUUAGUCGAUAAAUUAUAUGCCCUUUGGUUGAAUCAUAAGGAAUUACUUCAAUUUUUACUCUAGCUCCUACUCUAUCUCCUGGCACUAUCCGUACAAAACUAUGCCGGAUCUUUUCUGAAAUAGAAUUGAGAAUCCGAUCUAAACAAAUCGGGAAUAGACCGUUGGGAAGCGAUUCAGUAAUUAAAGCUUUAUGACUCCAUUUUGGUUCUUAAAAUUCCCUUGAGGUAUCAACUAAUGAGAAAGAUAUUAGACAACCCCCCUUUUUCUAUUUCACAAAUUUAACAAAUAGGAAGUUUCAAAUCCAAUUUUGAUAUUAUAAAGGAUUACCAGAUAUAACACAAAAUUUCUCCACCUAUUCCUUCUAGUCGAGCCUCUCGGUCUAUUAUUAUACCUCAAGAAGUAGAAAGAAUUACAAUCCCUAUUCCACCUAAAAUUCUCGAAAUUCGUUGAUAAUUAGAAUAGAUUCGUAGACCAGGUCGACUUAUUCGUUUUAAAUUUAAAAUAUUUCUAUAGGGUCUUUUCCUAUUUCUUCUAUGUAGCAGGGUUAAAACCAAAAAAUAUUCGUUGUUUUCUUGAUGUUUUCUCAUGUUUUUGGUAAAAACCUCUCGUAAAAGUAUUUGAACAAUAUUUUUGGUAAUAUUUGUCGAUGCUAUCCGAACCACCCUUUUUCGAUCCAUAUCAGCAUUUAGUAUAGAAGUUAUUAUCUCAGCAAUAGUGUCCCUACCCAUGAUGAACUAAAAUUAUUGGGUUCUCCAAAUUUGAUAUAAUCAACGUGUUUAUACCUAUUUAUUUUUGGAAUAUGAUAUGAAUUAUUAAAGAUAUAUGCGUGAGACACAAUCUACUAAUUAAUCUAUUUCUUUCAAAUACCCUACUAGAAACAGAUCACAAUUUCAUUUUAUAAUACCUCAGGAGCUAAUGAAACUAUUUUAGUAAAAUUUAAUUCUCUCAAUUCCCGGGCGAUUGGACCAAAAAUUUGAGUUCUUUUUGAAUUUCCUUCUUGAUCAAUAACAACCGCAGCAUUGUCAUCAUAUCGUAUUAUUAUCCCAUUGUCAUGUUUGAGUUCUUUACAAGUACGCACAAUUAUAGCCCUGACUACUUUUGAUCUUUCUAGGGGCAUAUUUGGUACUGCUUCUUUGUUCACAACAACAAUAACGUCACCAAUAUGAGCAUAUUGACGAUUUCUAGCUCCUAUGAUUCGAAUACACAUCAAUUCUCGAGCCCCGCUAUUAUCCGCUACAUUUAAAUGGGUCUGAGGUUGAAUCAUUUUUUUAAUCCGUUAUUUGAAUGCAUUUGAAUGCAAAGGGCGAAGAAAAAAAAAGAAAUAUUUUUGUCCAAAAAAAAAGAAACAUGUGGUUUUGUUUCAUAUCUAAGAGCCCUUUCUACAUUUUUGUCUAUUACAUUACGAAAUAAUGAAUUGAGUUCGUAUAGGCAUUUUGGAUGCUGCUAGUGAAAUAGCCCUUCUGGCUAUAUUUUCUGUUACUCCACCCAUUUCAUAAAGUAUUCGCCCCGGUUUAACAACAGCUACCCAAUAUUCAGGGGAUCCUUUUCCUGAACCCAUACGUGUUUCUGCGGGUCUUAGUGUAACUGGUUUGUCUGGAAAUAUACGUACCCAUAUUUUUCCACCACGACGUGCAUUUCGUGUCAUUGCUCGUCGGCCUGCUUCUAUUUGUCGAGAUGUAAUCCAAGCAGGUUCAAGUGCUUGAAGAGCAUAUUUACCGAAAGAAAUAUGAUUACCUCGAUAAGAUAUUCCCUUCAUUCUUCCUCUAUGUUGUUUACGGAAUCUGGUUCUUUUGGGGUUAUAGUUGAUGGUUGUUUCUGAAUUCCAUCUCUACUACAGAACCGGACGUGAGAGUUUCUUCUCAUCCAGCUCCUCGCGAAUAAAAGGAUUCCAAAAAAUUCAAUUUGAAUUAAGCUAGAAGAGUCAAUCUUAAGUUAAGAUAUAUAUGUAUUUACUGAGUAAUACCUUGAACGUGGGCUUCUUUGAGAUUUCAUUAAAUCUAUUAGUAAUUUUUAUAUCUUGUUUAAAUAGAUAACUAAACUUUUUAGUUUUAUAAAUAGAAAUAUAAAAAAUUGUAUUAUUA
rnacentral:lncRNA from 1 species